rnacentral:pre_miRNA from 1 species
CGUCCCAAAAUUCUUGUCUUAGAUUUGUCUAGAUACAGAUGUAUCAAGUCACAUUUUAGUAUUAGAUACAUCCGUAUCUAGACAAAUCUAAGACAAGAAAUUUGGGANG